CUGGCGGCUGGGAAGCUGCUUGGUUGGAAGCUGAGGUUCACUUACUAUAGAGGGGGAGAAAGUACACACUCUCAAGGCAGUGCACAUUUUGCCGGGGAGAGUGGAAGAAGAGGAGGGGGAUGUUGCUGAUGGAUCUUUCUCCAGGACUCCCAGCUGCUACACCUCCCAACGCUGGACUUAGCGCUAACCUCAUGGGGCUGUCUUCUGGAGUCCUGAUCUGCGAGGGGAGUGUCCCAGGAGGAAGGGAAAGAAAGCCUGUCUGCAAAUGUCAUUUUGGUCCAUUUAUAAGCAGAGACCCUAGAGUGGCCCUGUCCUGUUGAUGCUUCUGCUCAUGCCGAUAUUUCCAAUGUGGUGACAGAUUAGAUAUGAAGGCCAGAAAAGAACACUGGACCCCCUGAAACUAGAAUUGGAAGCAGGUGUGAGCCGCCACCAAAGCCAGUUUCUCUGAAAGAGCAUCCGGUGUUCUUAAGCACUGAGUCAUCUCCGUCCCCUCUUGCUGCUUCUUGACAACAGAUGCAAUGUUACCAACAACCUCUGACUCCUGCCAUCAUGACUUCCCGGCUGUGGAAGACAUGGAACCAUGACUUGAAAUAAAUUCCUUCUC